CGUCUUCGCAAAUGUAAUGCAAUUAUUAAUAUUAUUAGAUUAAGUAUUGAAAUAGCAUCACGGCACAUAGUGGCAUAGUAAAAUAAUUGGAAACUCAGUAAUGCUAUAUAAUGUAUAUUAUGUGAUAUCACGUGCAAAAUGUUUUUAUACGUUAGAUUAUUAAAUUAUCGCAUCAUAAUAUAAUAUUUUUUUGCUAAUUACAUGUAGACCGCGUAAUUGGGAAUUACCAGGAUUUGAAAAAUACACAUUACUCAAACAGGUCAUGACACCGACUGCUUGAAAUACAACUAUAUAAGAAGCUUAAAAUGUGAUUCUUUUCAGAUCAUUUCCAAGAGUGACGAGCGAAGAUUUUUCACUACGAGGACGACCGACAUUGAACUAAAAACUUCAAAGAAGCUCAAUCAAUACAUACAACUCAAAAAAAAAAAACAACAACUGUUCAACAAUCCAGUAUACACACACACUCCAAAAGUCUACAAAGAUUGCCGAAUCAACUGUAUUAUAAAUUUUAAUUGGAUUCGUGUCAGCUGUAUCGUAAAAUUUUUAAUUUGAGUGCAUCGCUGUGAGAAACCGUUUCAAAAUGAAGUCAAUAUAUUUUGCUGUCUGUAUUGUCGUUGUAUUGGUAUACGGUGACGUAGUAAACGGACAGUUCGGUGGCUUCUUCAACCCCACCUCUCUUUUAGGUCCACUUCGUUCAGUAAUUGAUAGCGAAUUAGAAAAACAAGAUUUCGGUAACUUAGAUACUAAAUUCGGCUAUAUGAUUUUUGAUCUUCGUAAAUUUUGCCAGAAAUCUAUUGAUGAAAUAAGAGAUCGGUAUGGAUUGAAUACUGAUUAUGAAAUGGCGGAUAAUGCUAUAAACGAAGUUCUGAGUCGACAUUGUCGUGAUAACAAACCAAAAGAUCCAAAUAUGUUUAAAGGAAAACUUGCCCAAGGUAUUUUCAAAGGUUUUGAAGUUUAGGAGCAAUAUUCAGUUCUUAAUUUCUAUUAGUUGAUGCUGUAUUUGCCUAGAGAUAAAAAUCCGUAUCCUAAUCGGGUAAACACAAAAUUAUUAUUUUAAAUAAUAUGUCUAGUAAUAUACUUUCUAACACAUAAACUAUUAAUUUGUGUAGUAAAAAAAAAAUACAAUAAUUGUUUUAAGUUUUGAAUUUAUUAUAAUUUAUGAUAAUAUAUCUACUUAUUUAGUAAGUGAUUGUGUUAAUUAAAAAAAACAAAAAAUAUUUAACAUACUUAAAAAUAUUUUAUAUUCUUAUUCAACCACUUAUAACUUUAUAUUUAGCAUUUUAUAGUCGUUUUAAUUUGUAAACUGUUUGCUUUUUGUUAAACUAAUCUCAUUUUUCUUUAUUUCUGUAUAUUUUUAUAUCUUGUUUUCUGUAUAAUAAUAUUAUUCAUAUUAUAUAUACCUGUUUACUCAUUAUAAUUAUACUAAAAAGGCUCAGCCCGUAUGUUUAUAAUAAAUAAAUAUUGUACUGUUAUUAUAUAUGUAUACAUUAGAAAACAAUUAAAUGAUUAUAUUUAUA